rnacentral:rRNA from 1 species
AGCGAACGUUUGCGGCGGGCCUAACACAUGCAAGUCGAACGAUAACCCAGCUUGCUGGGGGAAAGUGGCGCACGGGUGCGUAACACGUGGGUAAUCAACCCUUUGGAUCGGGACAACCCGGGGAAACUCGGGCUAAUACCGGAUAAGUCGUGGGAGCUCUCGGGCACCCACGGGAAAGGUCCGCAAGGGCUACCAAUGGACGAGCUCGCGGCCCAUCAGCUUGUUGGUGAGGUAAUGGCUCACCAAGGCUAAGACGGGUAGCUGGUCUGAGAGGAUGAUCAGCCACACUGGAACUGAGACGA